rnacentral:rRNA from 1 species
GACGAACGCUGGCGGCGUGCUUAACACAUGCAAGUCGAACGGAAAGGCCCUGCUUUUGUGGGGUGCUCGAGUGGCGAACGGGUGAGUAACACGUGAAUAACCUGCCCUUGACUUUGGGAUAACUUCAGGAAACUGGGGCUAAUACCGGAUAGGAGCUCCUGCUGCAUGGUGGGGGUUGGAAAGUUUCGGCGGUUGGGGAUGGACUCGCGGCUUAUCAGCUUGUUGGUGGGGUAGUGGCUUACCAAGGCUUUGACGGGUAGCCGGCCUGAGAGGGUGACCGGCCACAUUGGGACUGAGAUACGGCCCAGACUCCUACGGGAGGCAGCAGUGGGGAAUAUUGCACAAUGGGCGGAAGCCUGAUGCAGCAACGCCGCGUGCGGGAUGACGGCCUUCGGGUUGUAAACCGCUUUCGCCUGUGACGAAGCGUGAGUGACGGUAAUGGGUAAAGAAGCACCGGCUAACUACGU